rnacentral:rRNA from 1 species
GAUGAACGCUAGCGGCAGGCUUAAUACAUGCAAGUCGUGGGGCAGCAUGGGGUAGCAAUACUCUGAUGGCGACCGGCAAACGGGUGCGGAACACGUACGCAACCUUCCCAAAACUGGUGAAUAGCCCUCCGAAAGGAGGAUUAAUACACCGUAACAUAACGAAGUGGCAUCACUUUGUUAUUAUAGCUCCGGCGGUUUUGGAUGGGCGUGCGCCUGAUUAGGUAGUUGGCGGGGUAACGGCCCACCAAGCCUACGAUCAGUAACUGGUGUGAGAGCACGACCAGUCACACGGGCACUGAGACACGGGCCCGACUCCUACGGGAGGCAGCAGUAAGGAAUAUUGGACAAUGGUCGGAAGACUGAUCCAGCCAUGCCGCGUGAAGGUUACGGUCCUAUGGAUUUUAAACUUCUUUUGUAUGGAAGCAAUAAGGUGCACGCGUGCAUCGAUGAGAGUACCAUACGAAUAAGCAUCGGCUAACUCCGUGCCAGC